AUUGAACGCUGGCGGCAGGCCUAACACAUGCAAGUCGAACGGUAACAGGAAGCAGCUUGCUGCUUCGCUGACGAGUGGCGGACGGGUGAGUAAUGUCUGGGAAGCUGCCUGAUGGAGGGGGAUAACUACUGGAAACGGUAGCUAAUACCGCAUAAUGUCGCAAGACCAAAGAGGGGGACCUUCGGGCCUCUUGCCAUCGGAUGUGCCCAGAUGGGAUUAGCUUGUUGGUGGGGUAACGGCUCACCAAGGCGACGAUCCCUAGCUGGUCUGAGAGGAUGACCAGCCACACUGGAACUGAGACACGGUCCAGACUCCUACGGGAGGCAGCAGUGGGGAAUAUUGCACAAUGGGCGCAAGCCUGAUGCAGCCAUGCCGCGUGUAUGAAGAAGGCCUUCGGGUUGUAAAGUACUUUCAGCGGGGAGGAGGGGAGUAAAGUUAAUACCUUUGCUCAUUGACGUUACCCGCAGAAGAAGCACCGGCUAACCCCGUG
rnacentral:rRNA from 1 species